rnacentral:rRNA from 1 species
UACGUAGGCAGCGAGCGUUGUUCGGAGUUACUGGGCGUAAAGGGUGUGUAGGCGGUUGUUUAAGUUUGGCGUGAAAUCUCCCGGCUCAACUGGGAGGGUGCGUCGAAUACUGAGUGACUUGGAGUGCGGGAGAGGAAAGUGGAAUUCCUGGUGUAGCGGUGAAAUGCGUAGAUAUCAGGAGGAACACCGGUGGUGUAGACGGCUUUCUGGACCGUAACUGACGCUGAGACACGAAAGCGUGGGUAGCAAACAGG